rnacentral:rRNA from 1 species
CAACAGCUAGAGUUUGAUCCUGGCUACAGGACAACGCUGGCGGCGUGCCUAACACAUGCAAGUCGAACGAAGCUCCCGGAUAUGAGAUUCGUCAAAUUGAAGGGAAGACUUAGUGGCGGACGGGUGAGUAAUGCGUGAGCAACCUGCCCUUCGAGGGGGACAACAGUUGGAAACGACUGCUAAUACCGCAUAACGUAUCGUGAAGGCAUCUUCGUGAUACCAAAGAUUUAUCGCCGAGGGAUGGGCUCACGUCUGAUUAGCUAGUUGGUGGGGUAACGGCCCACCAAGGCUGCGAUCAGUAGCCGGACUGAGAGGUUGAACGGCCACAUUGGGACUGAGAUACGGCCCAGACUCCUACGGGAGGCAGCAGUGGGGAAUAUUGGGCAAUGGGGGAAACCCUGACCCAGCAACGCCGCGUGAAGGAAGAAGGCUUUCGGGUUGUAAACUUCUUUUAACAGGGAAGAUAAUGACGGUACCUGUUGAAUAAGCCACGGCUAACUACGUGCC